GCGAUUAGGGGUAAACUGAAAAACCGAAAGGUCGAAGGGAGGGAUUCAUUCGCGUUUCGAANUUGGCGUCAAGCGGGUUGCGAAACAAAACNUUAUUUCGGUAAUGUCGCGCUCCUCUCGUUCUUCGAACCGAUUACNAACGCGUGCACUUCUCUCCUUGUAGGACGUCGCGAUCCGUUGGGUGUCGGUCUACGCGUUGCGGUGGAGUUUGAACGUUUUGUCCUUGUGGCAAAACUUUCAAACCCGUUUCGCCGGCCGACGCGCUCGACGGUAUCGAUAAUGGUUUAGGGGCGCUUUAAUGAGCGUUCGACUCUCGACAAGCGCGUCACGGUUACGGCAAUCGGACCUAGUGCCGGUUCCGUUCCCUGAUGACUGUUGGUUGUGAAGUUCUCGAACAGACCCUUACGACCGAUCUGCGACGCUAUAGCUUUGGGUAAUUUCAGGACCCGUCUUGAAACACGGACCAAGGAGUCCAGCACGUGCGCGAGUCAUUGGGAAUCAUUAAACCUAAAGGCGUAAUGAAAGUAAAGAUCGACUUUUUGUCGAUCGAGGGAAGACGGGCGGCGCACCCUUAAAAGUGUCCGUUCUGCAUUCCCGGGGCGUCUCGUUCUCAUUGCGAGAUGAGGCGCACCAAGAGCGUACUUGCUGGGACCCGAAAGAUGGUGAACUAUGCCUGGUCAGGACGAAGUCAGGGGAAACCCUGAUGGAGGUCCGUAGCGAUUCUGACGUGCAAAUCGAUCGUCGGAACUGGGUAUAGGGGCGAAAGACUAAUCGA
rnacentral:rRNA from 1 species